rnacentral:lncRNA from 7 species
AAGCUGCACCUAGAUGGUUUUGUCUGUGGAGGAGGAGGAGUUAUAUUUCUGCCUAUAUUUCUAUAACUUUAAGGGAUGAAGUGGAAGCUCAGUGUGGUUUGGUGUUAGCAACCAAAUAAGGAUCUACCAGGCUUAAGGCAAGGAGUAAGCAGUACUUUAUGCAACAGAGGAGUGAGAGGGUGAAUAGGAUCGUGUCUUGGAUCUUGUUAGUCUGUAAAAUAAAUGCGGUGGUAUUUAUUACUGUUUAUGGAAACUUCUCAGAGCUCUGCCAUUAGGAGAAAAGGCGUUCUCUGUUCUGAGCUGUUUUUUUCCCAGCCUACCUGGAAAGGAUGUAUUGGGGUAGGCUGUAACAACUGAAGUGCAACCUGCUGAAUGUUUCUUCUGGAACCAUCUGACCAGCUCUGUGUAAGCUGCACAGUAUGAGCUCAGAAGAGGUUGGUGCUCAGGGUGGAGAGGGUGCAAAGAUGUGAGAUGUCAGAGAGCACAAAGCUGGCUUACAGGGCUGAGAUGAGUAACUUCCCCUUCCAUCUGGGCUAGGCCUGGGGAAACACAAGACCGGAGAUUGCUUCAGAAGGAGGAGCAAGGUGAUCUGAAAACAAGACAAACUGGAAUGGUGUCAGAACGACCCACCUGAUGGCACAGCAGGGCUGCAGGGAGGGCAAAUCAGGGCCUGGUUGGCCCCAUUCUGAGGGGUGAAGGGAAGAAGACAGAAGGGGUUGGUAUCAAGGACGGUGCCUGCAGCUGUCCUGCACAGGCAGGGAAGAUACACGUAGAUGUAUUCUCAGAAGCUAGUUUAAAGCACAAUUUCUGAUAGUAUACUGUUCUUUCAUUUUAUGAGUUCAAAAUAUUUUAAAUCUUGUCUCAAAAUUGAAGCGUAACUUCCUCUAUAAACUCCCGUUCUAUGUCAAGGAAGAACCAGGGCUUUUAGUAAGUCGAAGUGUUGAUGUUCUGAUCUUUAUUCUUUGUUCGACUUUACCAUCAACAGCGAAAGUGAUAAAGUUCGGCACAAUCUCUCCCUUAUGUUAAAGAUUUUCUACAAAAAGAGAUGUUAGAUAAACUAAGCCCUUACUUUUGAGUUUAACUACAGUGCCCUGUGCUUGAAUCACGUGU